CCGCGGUUAUACGAGGGACCCAAGUUGAUAGAUACGGCGUAAAGAGUGGUUAAGGACAACCCAUUUAACUAAAGCCAAAGGCCUUCAUAGCCGUUAUACGCCCAUACGAAGGUUCGAAGCCCAUAACGAAAGUAGCUUUAUCACUUUCCCGACCCCACGAAAGCUAAGAAACAA
rnacentral:rRNA from 1 species